CGACGGGUGGUGGAACGAAUACACGCGAGUCUCAGAAACUCGUGGGCGAAAGCCCGUGCAGGUGCGAAUCCUGUCCCGUCGACCA
rnacentral:tRNA from 1 species